GUCCACGCCGUAACGGUGGGUACUAGGUGUGGGUUUCCUUCCUUGGGAUCCGUGCCGUAGCUAACGCAUUAAGUACCCCGCCUGGGGAGUACGGCCGCAAGGCUAAACUCAAAGGAAUUGACGGGGCCCGCACAAGCGGCGGAGCAUGUGGAUUAAUUCGAUGCAACGCGAAGAACCUUACCUGGUCUUGACAUGUACGGAAUCCUUUAGAGAUAGAGGAGUGCCUUCGGGAACCGUAACACAGGUGCUGCAUGGCUGUCGU
rnacentral:rRNA from 1 species